rnacentral:misc_RNA from 1 species
UUUUUUCAUGGCUUUUUCAUAAGUAGUUGCUAAAUGAAUAAAUUAAGGACUGCAAAAAAAAUUUAAAGAGCAAACAACUUGAUAAUCAUACUAGAAUGUUUGUAGUUCAGCAAAAGGCUAAAAAUGCCUAAACUAAUCCAGAUCAUCAUAUUAAGGACUAACUAGCUUCCAAUGGAAAAACCUAAGGAUUCAAUACAUAAUGGCCAUAAUUCUCUUCAACAAGGAGACCCAAAGAAGCACUUGCAGCCUCAAAAAAAGGUAAAAAGAAAUCAACGGUUGGAUAUCACAUAUACAACAUAUACAUGUUACAAAAUUCCAUCAUCAAUGUUCACCUAACAGGCAUUAUCAUUGGCUUGAGUAUAACCUUGAUUUCCCAUUUUUCUGCCAAAAUGC